rnacentral:tRNA from 1 species
AGGGUGUUUUCCAAUCAACAGACCUUUGAUUUCGGCUCAUAAUGUCAUGGUGUAAGUCCCCCACCCCCUU